rnacentral:sRNA from 1 species
CACAUACCCCACGCAGGAGACAGAGCAUUUACCUUCAAUCAGUCACUAAAGGCCUCCACUCCUCCCACUGAACUGCGGGGCUCAGUGUUCAUGUCAGGACCCCCACCCCCAGCCCCCCAAUGGCGCAGCACUGCCUACUCAUAGUUGUUCCGCUUUCAAAAAGUCAUCAUUGAUUCUCGAAGAAAAGGAGAAAAUGAUGAAAUCUAAAAGCACAGGAGGUGGUCCAGAGAUUCAAAAGCCCAGGAGACCACAGAGUCAGCUGACCCACUCUACGCUGCCAAGGACAGACUCACUCCUCAGCCCUCUUCUCUGGGCUCAUCUGAAUCAGCUGGACUAAGUUAUUUCAGAUGGAACUGAGCAUGGCCAUUAGAGUUACAGUCGGGCUGAAGAAUGCAAACACAUCACUUUCAGGAUAGCAUUCCUAAGGAGGACCAGCAAGAAGAGCACGGAAGCAGCAGCCUUUGCCAGAAAUGGGUCAGCAGUGCUCUAAAGGAGAAAAUGGCAACUGGCAGUUGGCCUAAGUGGCCCACAGACAGAGUAGAGAUUGAUGGCCUACACUUGGGGAAGCAGAGAUCAACUGACUCAGGAAAGUACAUAAACUACCACCACCUUGGAGGAUUCCCAGGGAAGGAGGCUGAGGCCCAGCUUGUUUGAUAAAUGGAGUCUUGAGUUGCCAUAAAUAAUAGAAAAAAAUGAUUUUUCUUAUUUAUGUUUACAGGCUGGGGAAACCUGGACUUAUGUCAGGCUCUGUGUGUGUGCUGGGAGUUGCUGUGUUGACUGGCGUUUGCAAUUAGCUGGUGCUUAUUGACCAUCCUGAAUGGGAUACGUCCUCUCCAGUAGUAGCGACCAAUGGUCUUAUGAAUCGACAAAGCACAACAAUGUUUCCAACGUGCAUUGGCUGCUGCCCCCAUCCUUGCUUCAUGGCAUUCCUAGAAAUGGCCCUAUAGCAGAAAAAUGUUGAGGAAUGAAUCAUCUUCUUGUCUCCUGCCAGAGGAUAGCCAACAUUUACCUUCCCUUUCUACCCAAUUGUGUUCCUGAAUCUACAAGGCAGAAUGUUGACAGGUUGACUUGAGACCCAUGAAUCAACAGGGAAAUUACUGAAUGAACGAAUCUAUAAAGUGAAAUAGAGGGUUUUGUCAGCACGAUCCGGGCAGCAGAUGGAUGGAAUCCGAGAAGGGAUAGCGCUAAGGCCUGACUGCACAUUUUUCUUUUCUGAGUAUUAAUAAUUGAGAGUAGCUUAAUCUGCGAGCUCUCCCUCCAAGAACCACAUAAAAAAAUCUUGGGCUGAGGCAUUGGCUCUGUUAGUAAACUACUUAAUUUGCAGAGGACCAGAGUUCAAUCCUGAGCAACCCAUGUAGACAAAGCUGAGUGCGGUGGUGGGGUGUGAUUCCAGUGUUGGGGGUGGGGGUCAGAGACAGGUAGACCCUGGGCUUCACCAGCUAGUCAGCUUAACCUACUUGGUGAAUCUUGGAUAAAGUGAGAGACUUGUUCUCAAAAGGAACAGACAAACAAAAAACCCUCCUCCCGAGGUGCGUAGCACCUGAGGAACAACAAUGUGCACAUAGGUACAUGGCGUGCAUGCUAAAAACCGGAAGAACUUGAUACAUGUGGGCUGCGAAGAGUGUUUGGAAUAGAUUGGUGUAGAGAGGAAGGAGAGCCCAGUGGGAAAGAAGGUAGCAGUUAGCUGAAGUAUGGGCAGGAGGUUCUCUUUAAAGAGAAAUGCAAACGGGGUUGUUGUCCCCUCCCUACAGAUGCCUAUGAAGUACUUCCUGUAUCCUAACUACUACUCUAGGGCCUUCAGCGAGGAAACCUUGCAUUUGUGUUACAGACAUACCCUCCUCAGAGCUUUGAAUAGCCAAGACACCACUCCCCGCAGGAGCAGCAAACCAGGCCAACAGCAGUGCCCCUUUUCCCUUGACUUCUUCUCUGCUGCCCACUCUGCCUGGCAGUCAUGCUGACUGGGACCUCAGUGCUGUGUCAUCAUGGAAAAGAAGCCUCGGGGAUGGCUCCAUGAACACUGGAUUCUUGUGCUUGGAACCCUGACUGCCUGUCCUGUGCCCCCCGCCUGCAGGCUCAGGAGUCUGAGACCAACCCAGACCUGGCCUCUCUGUCGGGAACUAAGGAGUCUCAAAAUGCAGGUUGAACACUGAUGAACCAGUGCAUGCCUCUGACAUUGUGUUUCUAUUCUGCUAGCUGGGUUUCUGCUUUGACCUAUGACCCGGAUGAGUGAUUGUCUUGUCACCAUGGACUUCUGUCCCUGCCCCGAAUUUUACUUCGACUGUUUUUCUUAAUGAAAAUGUCCAUAGUCCCUGGAGAGGCAACCUGAAGACCCUGAUUAUAUUACAGACAUCACUACUGAAUAUAUCAUCCCUGGUUCAUAUCACCUAGUAAGGUAUAGCCACUGAGACUUCCUUCAGUGAAUUGGAGCAGUUCCUCAGGAAAGGCCCAGGGGCGUGUACCAGUCCCAAUCCUGCUUUUCCUGUGUGUCUAUUCUUGUGUGUCUGUUCCUGUGUGUCAUGCCUUUUCAACCUCCUAGAGCAGCUGGUACCUUGGUUCCCUCCAGCAUAUCUUUGAAGCUCAUCCCCAAAGUCUAAAUUUUAAAUAAAGAACCUUGAGCAAAGAAGGAACAUACAACUGGGAAAUACACUUUACGAAGAAGACAUAAAUCUUUAGUGUUACAUAUUUUGCCAGAUGUCUUCCUUGCUUUUCUUAGGGCUGGAUCCAUGUUCAAAGAACACAUUGAAUCCUUUAAGCUUUUAAGCCAACUCAAAAUUCAGAAGAAAAUUGGAAGGGAACUAUUUUUUGUUUAGCAAUGGUUUGCCUUUAGGAUGGCACUUUUGUGACUUUUCCCUACACGAAUCACCCCUCGAUCUGUCUUCUUCUGUUUCCUUUCUACAAGAAUAGAUCCAACCCCAUGGUCUCAACAAUGUACUCUCUCAAAGCAUGGUAUGGUGGAUCCAGCAUUUAUUUCCUGAGUUAACACAUCGAAGAAGAAGAAGUUUUUUCUGUUAGCCAAGUCUAUGGUAGCUGUGACAUAGUCUUGUCAAUACCCAUGUGGCAUCCUGUGUUAUAAUGUGGUUCAGAAUCAGCACAUAAGGAUUGCAAGUGGGUGAUCUACCCUGCUCCAUGAACAGGCAUUUGUACUGAAGUUGUCUAGUUUAUUAUUUAACACAAAUCACAUGGGGUUCUCUUGGGAAAGUAGGCCAAGAUAGGCUUGGCUAAAAUCUCCUUAUAAGUCAUCAUUUUGCAGAUUCACAGUGACCAGUGCCUCAUUAUUGACUCUAAGAAGAUGAAGGGGGAUUAACUUAACUUUGUAUAAUCCACUGUUUCUCAACCCUGAAGAAUGGUAGAAUCCUUUCCUUACCUGUUCAUAUCCUGAAGAAGUAGCUUUUAGUAGCACUUCUGUAAGGAAAUAAAGGUUUAGUUUAAUGUCCUCUGCCAACUAUGGAGAAGCUAUCAGUCUUGUUUUACAGAUGAUAAGACAGAUCCAUCUUACUGGCCUUGACCUAAGCCUUGACAUUCCUGCAGCUCUGGUUGACACUGUGACUGGCCUGUAGAAGACUCUAAAACAGAAAACAAGGCCAAGCCAUCCUUUGAUAGACCAGUGACAUAACCAUCAGAUAAAAAAUACUAUCUUAAGGGACUUCAUUUGGUCUAAUUUCCCCUUUGCCACAGACCCAAGCUCCAUCGUUUGGUUAUUCUCUCACAAUUAGAGUGAGGGCAGCUGAUUUUCAAGGUUCUUAUACCACUCUCUUUGUUCAAAAGAGUUAGUUUUUUUUAUUUUAAUUUCCAUCUCCAGCUUUCCAUUAGAAAGAAUGUUCACAUUACUGAAUAAACAUAUCCUGUCUGUAACAUUGGGGCAGGACAGUCUAGAGAUGGAUUCUUAAUAAAAAGAAUGAGACACACUAAGAGGAAACAAAAAUAUACCAUUUCUAAUUCCAGAUUCUCCAACCUGACCCAAUGCAAUCAUUGUGUCGCAACUCUAAGGACAACCAAGCCACUUCUGUUUUGAAGGGCUCUAGUAGAUGAGAUAAAUGGAUCUUUUUGUUUCUAAUAGAAAUAUUCACUACAUACACUAAUAAUAUUUUAUACCAUCAUGUGAAAAAGAAACUUGAACAAAACAGAACGGAAGGGACAGAAACUUAGUUUGGGAUUUGGGACUUCUCCAUGACGAGCUCCAAAUUUGUAAUUGGCUAAAGCUUGUUUUUUCUUCUAUAAGUUGGUAGCUUGGCGAAUCCCCACUGAGUUCGAGGCGGUAAGUUAAGAAGUACAUCAGAGAGUCUACAAGAGCGUAUGAGUGAAUACUGUGUGGUGAAAUGUCUGGUGGCAGCAACAAAGGCGUUUUCUCCUUCAGGUACCAGGGAAGCUAACGACUAAACUUUGAACCACUGUGUGAUUCAUCCAGUCCGUAUGGAGACCUCGCAAAGGACCCUUUUUCCUCAGAUGAGCAGACCCUUCGAGAGACAAGCACUCCUCGGUUCCUCUGAUUCAGAAUCUAAGUUUCUGGAUGAGCUAGGGGCGCACUGCUAAACUUCUCAGCACCUUGGUUUUCUAAGCCGAUGUUGCCCUUCUGCGGAUGGAUGGAUUAGCUAUCAUGGCGCCUACUCAGAGUGAGGAAUGGUUUAACGAGUUUCAGAGCAUCCAGUAAAAGGAGAUUCCUGAAGGAAAUCAGUGAAGAAUGCGCCUGCUACUGUUGUGUGCGGGCAUCAGGGUUCUAGUGAUUACAUGGGGAACAGGAGGAAGAAGAGACGCUUUCCUGGUUUUCUACACUGUCCUGGAGGCUUAUGCUGCUUGGUACAGCUGAGGUAAUAACGUUGGGGGAAGUAGGGAGGUGUGGGGGAAAAGGCUAUCUGAAGCUGAUUUUCUUCCAACAGCAAGUGUAGAGUGAGGCACUGAGUGAAGAAUUAGAAGACAAAGGAAUGUUCCAAGGAUGUUUGCCUUGUAUGCCUCAAAUAUUCUUGGGUUCACUUAAGAGAGUUGAGCAUGGUGUAUGCUUAUUAGCUAGCCUCCUAGGCUACCAGGACCAUUCGUUACCCAGCUUCCUUUUUCUGCAAGCUCACCUCUGUUUUAAGACAAUUCAACUCCUGGUGCUGUCCCUUAGCCUGGACACUGCCUGUGGUGUUCUCUCUUCUUUUGCUUAAGGUUAGUCCUUACUGCUGGCUGCAGAUUGGAACCUGGGAGGCCUCUAAAGUCUCCGUGCCUGGGCCCGACUCCCAGUCUAGCAAACAGAAUCUCAAGAGGCAGAAUCCAAACAAGGGAGAUCUGGAAAUUUCUCUGUUAUUUUAAUAGCCAAUGAGAGCCAUUGGUCUGGGGUACCCAGACAGACUAUAGUUGUUUUAUAAUUCAGAACUGGAGGUUCUUCUGGGAUGAUUAGAGACUCACUAAGCUAAGAGACAGCCCUCAUAUUAACAUUCUAAAAACAAGGAGUUGAACAGACAUAGGUGCCUGACUGGAAAGGAAAAGGGCCAGCCAAAGAGGGAGGUCACGAGAACAGACCCCAUUCGACAAAAGGAAAGGAAAGGGGUUCACAGUCUUCUGGAACAUAUACUGCUAGAUAUGGUGUCUAAAGUCAAGGCUGUUAUGAAUGAUUUAGCCCUUCAGGGAGAUUCUUUGCAGUGCAAUCAAUUUUUCUUAUCCUCUCUCUGAAUAGUCAGACUGAAAUAGUCAAACCCCAGGAGUAGAACUGACAUUACAAACAGAAGCAAAGAGAAAGUUCUGAUCUUCUAUUGUGUUGCUGAUAAAACCAAAAAUUGAUUGAGACACCCCUGGGGGGACGGAAGCAAACUUAGGUCCUGUUCCUGCCGAGCGUUAUGAUAAUUUCCUCUGUACAUUCUACUCAGGAGAUAUGUAAUCUACAUUUAAUGUGUGUUCGGACAAGGGACCAGAAGCUUGGUUUUUAAAAGCUGCUUCUAGAUAAAGAUUCAGAGGCCGUACGGCAAGCCCACAGUUUAUUUUUCCUUGGGAAGUUUUGCUAUUGUGACAGAAAAACAUGGCAGCUCAAGAGUGUUUCUGUUCUUGAUAGGAAUGACCUUAGUCCUUGUCCCGAAGGGUUCCAGCUUAUAUUUGUUACCUCAGCUUAAUUACCAAUGACUUGCAUAUUCAUCUGUGUUCUGGGUCACCCUUGUCAUCCUAGAGUGGACCCGUGUGCCUGGAAGGUGAGACCUGUGUUCUAGUGCGAUCUUUUCCAUUCAUCAACUCCAUACACAGAAAAUGACUUCUGCUUAGCACUUAGUGUUCUUUUUAGUGACAUAAAGGAGAUCGAAUUCAGGGAUCCAAGAUCUCGCCUCCUGGCCAGGGAGCACUACCUCAUGCAGAUUUUUGUAUGACUUUUGUAUGAAUGCCAGCGUAUGUAUCUUUGUGUAUUGUUUUUCCUGGAGACAGUUCUGCUGGCUGUCAUUAUAUUUUCAGAAGGUCAUGAUUACAGAACGGUCAAAAUUUUCAAUGGAUAAAAUCUGCAGAACCCUUUACCUCUGUAGAUUGGAUGAUUUUUUUUUAAAUAGAACUUAGAAGUCAGUUAAACUAUUGCAUGAGAAUAUUUCCACAGUGACAAUUGAUUUUCCUUGUACCAAACCAGUAAAUGGAAUCUUAUAUUUAGAGACAGGCAGCCCACACAGUGCAAUCACAGAAGGACUCUCUAGUGAGACAGACAGGAACCCAGCAGUUGGGGAUCUAUCUCCCGUCGGAAGAGCAUAGGGAGGUAGGAAAGAGACCCCUGGGAGAAGGCAGGGGUUUCUGUGAAGUGUGGAUGACUCGCAAGACAACCCAUAAAGUAUCUGCAGCUCCGUGUGAGGUGAACAGAAAAGAGUAAACGAUAGGCAGGGAAGUAGUUGUUAUACAUGAAGAGAAAAGGCUGUGAGCAGAGGGUCUGCAGAAAUGUUUCAGCUUUGCCAUUUUAACUGCUGGGUGACCUUGGGCGGAUGGGUUUCUUUGGGUGUAGAGCCUGAACGAAGCUGCAGGGCUUGAACUGCAUGAUUUGGGCCCCACCUUGCUCACUUUGGCUCACUUCCCACUUUGGCCAUGCCUGAUAGAAUCACCCCAUCUCUAUUUUUUCCUUAGAAUUAGCUCAUUUGCCGAAGGCUUUGAAGUACUGUAUCCUUUCCGUAAAGUACGUCUCAUGAUGAAUAUUCGUUUGCUGGGUAUUAGAGCACAGGCCUGUAAUCAGGAGUCUGAGGCAAGAGGAUUAUAAACUCAUGGUCUGCCUGGGCUGUAGAGGGAAUUCAAGGCCAGUCUAGGCGAGUUAGUGAGACUCUAUCUCACUAUAAAAAGGUAUAAAACAGAACUCAAGAUACAGCUUAGGGAUACAGUGUUUGCCUAGCAUGGCCGCUCACGCUCCAGUACCACAACCACAGCCGCAGCAACAACAGAAUGAAUAUUUAUCACCACACUAACCUAUUAUAGAGAAAAAUGUUGCUUUGCAAUUAUGGGCAAAGGUGUUCUUAGUGGGGUGUGUGUGUGUGUG